UAGAUUUUCUCUAAUUCAGUCAGAUAAAGCUCAAGAAUCAUACAAAUAAUCUGGGCUAAAAAUAAAAAUUAAUAAUCAAGUUGGAUUAAUAUAUUUUUUUCUAAUUUUAUUCUGAGGUUUCACGCAUUUCUAUCUGUUUCUCUCCUCUCAUCUCUCUCUAUCUCCCUCUUUUCUGCCUGCAGUUAAAAGAAAGAAGAAUAGUUGUUGAAAAAUGGAGGCUUGUUAAGUUGUAGCCUGUUGGCCUCUCAAGUCUCAACCCAUCUUGCACGCAUAUUUUUGUGUUAAGCUAUAUAUUACAAUAAUCGACUCUCAGCGCAAUGUUUUUGUUUUUUCCCGUUCAUAUAAAAGAUUAUGGAUGGAUAUAUGCAAGGAUCUUUUUGUUGGAUUUGUAUACAAUUCUUUUUUAGGGAUGAUAACGGAUAGGAUAAAAUUUAAUACCCGUGAAUAGUUGAUCUGGUAGAAUCUGGACGUUGAUGGAUAAUCUGUCAGGGUUUGAUAUUUAUGAGAAGCUACUAACAGAUAAUCCAAUAAGAUUUGAUAGGAGAAUCCUAAUAAUUCCAUAUCCGGUACCCAACAUACAAUAUGUGUGUGAAAAGGAAUUAAUACCUUUGUUAAACUUGCAUAUUCUCUCUGGUUUGUAUUCACUUUCUAUACAAAUCCUUGUUGAGAACUAUGAGAUAAUUGUUUGAAUCUUUUUUUGAAAAACUACUAAAUUUAUUCAUCAUAAAAUAUUGCAUUUCUCUAUAAUUCUACUUAAGUUUAAAAUUCAACAUAGUGUGCUGAUUUUACAUGAUAUGUAUUGAUUUUAGGUUAAUAAAAUAAAAGCUAAUUCCCUUUUUUUUUGGAAAUUAUUCAGAUUAACGGGUAGAAGGUACCGAUGAAUGAUCCGAACCUAAAAUGAGAGGGUUUGGUAAUAAGAAUUAAAAUCGGUAGGAUAAUCCUAUAGUAUUUGGUAAAAAGAUUUAGAUAUAUGAGUUAGGAUUUGAUAAGCAAGUUUUUUGAGGAUAUUCAACCCACUAUCAUCCCUAAAUUUUUUUUCUUUUUUGAUUUUUUAAACAUUAGAGGACUGUAUUUUAACAAAUGGAAGCUUCAAAAGAAUUUUCUUAACUACCUUAACAUGACGGAAAGUUAUAUUUUGGUCACUACUAUCAUGUCAUUUAAUCAGACAUUGAAUCGAAUCGAAUGACAUAUUUGACAAGUUUCAAUAAGCAUUCCAACCAAAUUAUUUAUCAAGGUUAACCUUGAUUAUUCCAAAAUCCUGACUCAUUUAGUGCCUACCUUCCCAGAAAAAUAAAUGACAGUGUUAAGUAGUUACCAUUGUUGUAAAAAAAAAAAAAAAAAAAAAUUUCAUAGCGCAACAAUAAAUUAAUGUUACAAGCAACCUUAUUUGUGACAACACAUUUAUCAAUCACUUUUUUAUAUCAUAUAUAUCAAAUCGCUAAAAUACAUUUUAUUACAGAAACUCCUAAAAAUAGCAGUACAAAGGGUUCUAAUUUUACGAGCACGAGCACAUGAUUUUGGUCUAUAUUUGGAUGUAAAACUCUACCAAUGUUUAUUGUGUGGGACAAUGAAAUAAGCCGUGUAAGAGAAGUAGGAUCUCUGACAUUCUCAUGUGCACUAGAAAAAUCUUAAAUAACAUUCAUAAUAUGUGUAUAUUUGGAAGAGAAGUCUUAAUCAAAUUCGUGUUAGGUUAAUGUUUAAGUUCAAGCUUCUCCAUGAAUGCGAUGUGGGACUUGUAUAAGUUUAGAUUUUGAACUCUAUCCAACUUUUGUAGUUGUGAUUGAAUCAUACAAAUAUUGACUUCCCUAUAUCUAGGGGUGGGCGCGGGUCGGGUACCCGCCCCAUUCAUCAUUUGGCUGACUCGACCCGCACCUUGCGGGUCAGCCAUUUUUUGAUCCUUAUCCGCUCCGAAUAUCAGCGGAUACCCGUCCUAUAACGGGUACCUGCUGAGAUAGGGUCGGAUCAGCGAGUACCCGCCCCCGCCCCCGCCCCGCUUAUCAUUUAAUUUUUUUUUAAAAAAUAAUUUAUACCAAUUUAAUUUUAUAUUUUACACAUUCAUCUAAGAUUUAAUAAUUUUUUUUUCUAAAAAAAGGUUUCCCACCAAGAAACAAGCAUAUGAAAAGAAUAUAAGAUAAAGGAAAAAAAUUAAAAGAAUUCAAAAUCAAUAAAAGUUUGAAAUAAGUAGCACAAUUUUUAAUAUAUAUGUUCCACAUUAAUUAAACUUUUUCUGUAAAAUAUAAGAUCAUGGCCUUUACAAAUGAAUCUUGUAAAUAAACUAUAGUCUCUCAUAUUUGUAAUGCAAUUUGUUCAUUAAAAUUACUUAUUUAGUUCUAACUUAUUAUUUUAUAGUGUGUGUAUAAAAAUAAAAAUAAAAAUAAAAAAUAUAUAUAUGCGGGGCGGAUCGGGUACCCGCGAAUUUUUAAUUAUGUGACCCUAACCCGCUCCGCAUCUUAGCGGAUAUCCGACCCUCUUUUGACCCGAUCAAAUAAUAAAAAUCAGAUAUUCUAAUUUUCGGAUCGAAUCGGAUCGGAUAUGAUGGGUUUUUGGGUUAGCGGAUAAUUUUGCCCACCCCUACCUAUAUCAUAUUGCCACCAUAGCAUCUUUCACAAUACUUUAGAAGCUGUGCAUUUUUGCUACAUGUGACCUGUUUUGAAACUUUGGUUGGGGAAGAAAAUUUGGUAGAAGUUCCAGUCACCUGUGCAAGAAAAUAGAAAAGUAAAAUUAGGCAGAGAAGAAAAAAAACAAACCGAUGCAUGGCCACCAUGGAAGCAGAGGAGUCCAUCAUUGGAGUUGCAUGUGGUACAAGUCCGUGAGGAACGAGUGGCAAAACCGCCUAGGGCCGAGGUUUCCAACCAACCACGUUUUCUUCAAUCUUGUCUAUAAGUUUGCGGCUCUCCUUUUUCCUCCUACAUUUCUAGAGGAUUGGGAAUGUAGAACGCUCUUUCCUUAUUUUUUUUUCCUAUGGGUUAGGCGGUUCAGAGAGGAGGGAGAGGUUUUUGAUUCGAGUUCUUUUACUUAUAUUUUUAAAACAUUUAAUUAAAAAAGUCACAUUAUAUUUUCUAAAAUGUUGAAGACGAUUUAAUUUAGUGAUUAAAGUUAAAAAUCUAAAAAUUAAAAGUUUUAGAAUCAAAUGCUCUCACCUUCUACCUACUUAAAUUUCACCCUUCACUCACUGAAAAAUAUUUUUCUUUUCCGACCAGAAAGAAAAAAGCUACACCUUAGAAAAGUAGGGUUUCUCUCCUUUUUUUUCUUUUUGCUUUUCUAAUUCGACGGUGACUUCGAACCUUAUAAAAGGAAUAAAAAAAAAAAAAAACUUGAUAGUCUAACAAAAACCCUAAUGGUCACUUAGCUAUUAGAAAAUUGGAGGCCAAUGAAUUUUAUAUUAUCUUCUGCAAAAUUAUUAAUAUAUAUUUUUAAAGAGAGUACCUAGUUUAUUUUAUAAAAAGUAUAUACAUAGUGUAAAGAGCAAAUAAAAAAUUUAAAAUUUUGUAGUGUUUGGUAUUUUAGGCCGUGUCAUGAGGGAACUGGAUUUUGACAUAAAUUAUUGCCACUCAUCCCAGAAAGUUGGCAAUAAUCAAAACGAAACUAAAUCAGGCCAUUUACAAAACAAAUAAUCAUCUUGAUUAUACUCUUAAAAAAGCUUAAACAAAUAAAUUUUGGCAUAUAAGACACUAUCCAAACAAAUCAGGCCAUUUGCAAAAUUUACCAUUUACCGAGCGUUUAAUGUUGUACGACUUACGGGAUUUACUAAAAUAAACCUUCAAUCUUCUGAAGUUCGGGAUUUGCCGAAUGCCCAAAUCCUUUUGGGAUUAAUUUAAUUGGAGAUUAGAAGGGCCGAGCGUAGGCCUGUCAACGGGUCGGGUCUAGACCCGGAUCCGGACCGGAUCCGUGAAAUUAAUGCGGGUAUGGGUAGGGAUUUAAUUCCGUUUUCCGGAUCCGGAUCCGGAUCCGUUUUGUCAAACAAAAAACGGGUCGGAUACGGAAUAUAGUAUUCCGGCCCGUAUUAGACCCGGAUCCGGAUAUAAAUGAAUUAAUAAUUUAAAAAAUAUAUAUUUAUCAAUAUAAUUUGAUUAGGGUGAUGUAUUUUAAUAAAGUUAAUUUGAUUUCUUUUCUUAUUUGAUUUUUUCUUUGCAUUAGUUAGAAAUUAAUUUACAAAUAUAUUUUUUUCUCAUUUUUAUUAGAAAUUAUAAAAUUUGGUAAAUUUGUUCGGGUAGACCCGGAUCCGGAUCCGGGACCGCCGGAUCCGGAACGUAGAAUAAAGGACCCGUCGGGUAAACGGGUUGGAUCCGGAUCCGGCAUAGUAAUUCGGGUCCGGGUCCGGAAUAAUGAAUUCCGGCCCGGACCCGACCCGUUGACAGCCCUAGCCGAGCGCGAGCCAAUGCUCGAGACCACUCAUUCUGGGCCAAGUUUAAGCUUGCUAAUAUCCAGUUUAGCAAUGGACUUCAAAUUGGUAUGCAUUGUUGCAUUGGUGUUUUAAGAUGUCCAAAAUGGUUACUAUUAUUUACAAAGCCCAAUAUGGUAACUAGUCGUAAAUUUUAGUGUGACAAUUUUUUGAGUAAAGUAAGUAGGAACUGAAAAUGAAUUCUAUGUAUAUUAUUCUCUUGGCUUUUCUUUUUUUUUUUUCAACAAACGCUCUUGGCUUUUCUCUCUCUAGCUAAAAAUAACUAAAGGAUUGAAUAAGACUACAUGAGAAUUUGGGAUUUACCAAUAUGAUUAUCUCUAGAUCUCUACUAUGUAUAAAGCCUCUACCACCAUUUUGGUGUAAAAAAAUGUGUCACAUUUUUUUUUUUUUUUUUUUUUUUUUUGUAUUUUGAGCACAAAAAGAAAAAUGGGAAAAAACGGAAAGAAAACUCCAAUCCAAACGAGUUUUCCACGCUUUGGGUGUCAUCUUUUUGUAUUUUCAUUUAAAAAAAAUGAAAGAACUCCAUCCAAACGACGUUUACCCCUCAAACACUUAAAAAUGUGUCAUCCUUUGAAUUUUUUCAUUCUCACAUAUUUGAAUUGCGAGUUUUGCAUAUCGAAAUAUUUGUUUAGCAUGUUUCUCAAUUAUCUAUUUACCUUAUAUAAUCACAUGGUUACAAUAAAUUUUUGUACGAAAACUCCAAUCUAAACCGACAAAUUUGUAACCUUACACAUCUUUUCUCUUUCUCCCCAUGACAUUCAGCACAAAUUUUGUAGUUAAGCACACACCUGAAUUAUUUUAAAAACACACUAAUAAUACAUUAGGGAAAAAGGUCUGCAUAUGGGAAGUAGCCAAUUAAUGAUGAUUGUUCUAUAUUCUUGAAAGGAAAAAAAUAGCAUAACAUAAAUUAAGAUAUUAAAAGAGAACUCAAACUGAGCUAAGAAAGAGGAUCCACCUCUAUCAUAUGGGCAAACAGCGCCAUCCAAAAUGCUUCACCCGAUGGCCAACUCGCUUAGAAAUGGGUUGGUUAUACAAGAGUAGAAUCGGAGUUCAACUUUGGCACAGGGAGAGGCCUCUUAUCCCUCCAGCCUGGUUCAAGCGUAAGCAAACGGUGCUUAGGAGUUCAAAUAAACAAGUCAGUGAUGCUUAUCAGCUUUUUUGGACAGCAAUUGAAUAUAAUAAACCCGAUAAAGUGAGGGUGGGAUCAUUAAAUUCUUAAACAACUCCAAUUUGAUACAGAUUGCAGGGAAUAGGCCGAUAAAACCCAACAAAACAGAAAAAGAUAGACACAGAACCUCGUUGCUGACUCAGCAUUGAACUCUGUAAGCUCUCCAUAACUUCCUAAUUUUAGUAAGUUUUCCCUGAAAUUGUUUUCUUGAAUCGUUCAGCAACAUCAUCUCAUCUAUCAGUAAUCUGGGGUGGAAACACUUUGAAUUAGUUUUCUGAAUUUUAAUGUUUGACUUCUUUCGUUCAAAUCCGUCAGACGGUUGCUGAGACUGUAAUUUGAGUUAUAAAGUCUCAAUGAUCUGUCUUUUUGACUUCUUUCAAGAAUAUGUUCUUGAUUUAAAUAACGUUACUCUCUAAGUAAUUGUGGUGUAUAAGGUUUUCAAGUUUCCUGCGUAUGCUUUAGAAAAUAUUAAAUGCAGCUACUGCACCAUGUCAAACUAUGCUGCAAGACUCGUCUUUUAAGUUUCAGAUAGGGUGUCUGCAAUGUGGCUUUGACUUCUUUCUAGUGAUUGGCUUGCUGUACAGAAAAAUAGGGUAGCCCGGAUGACUGGACCUAAAGCAAAAAAAGCUGGAGCGGAUGCACUUAAUUUUUUGUUUUUCCACCACUGGAUUGGGAUUUAUUUUAAACUUUUUCUCUGAUGGAAAUCUAACCAACACAAAGCAAAGUGGAAGACAAUCAUUUAUAGAGUUUCUUCUGAUUUUAAUUGUUCGCACCUUAGAUAAUUGUUUCUGGCAUUUAACUCCAUUUUUGCUGUUAAUGAGAUUCAAAAUCAGACUAUUUGCUAUUUGCAGCAUGUUUGAUGAUUUUGUCUAUUCACUAUUGCACUGCUGUUUUGGGCUACGAUAUUUGAAUGUGUUGUAUACCAAAUAAAUAUUGAUUAGUGAAUUAGCAUUCUUGGUUCUUUGCCGGCUUCAUUGUUUAUCUAUGCAGUAUGUUUUUUCUUGGGACUCACAUCGUAUAUGGUUUCUAAUUUGUAUUCACUUUUAGGUUGUGAUAAUAUGAAUUACUCCUUGAAAUGCCAGUUUCUUAUAGUGACUGUUUAAAACGUUUAUGUUUCAGCUCCAUCGUAGUGUCAUCACCAUAUGGCGCUUUACCGCAGCUCUCACUCAAUCCGCAGAGCCGUUGCCAAUAGUUGGAGACUCUCACUAAAGCCAAUUUCAGCAGCCUACAAUUCUUGUGAUUGGAGUUACUUCAAUGAGAAUAAUGACAAUAAUUGGUGUCGUUUUAAUUUUGUUAAGAGCCCAUUUACAUCUGGUUCUCCCCAUGUGAAAUUUUCGAACACUGAUACUUCAACAUCAUCGUACUCAACAUUACACCCCCUCCAUGAAGGGCCUUCUUAUAUGCGUGCUGCUGUUUUUUGGGAACCAAACAAACCCCUCACAAUUGAAGACUUCCAAAUGCCCCGGCCAAAAGCUAAUGAAAUCCUCAUCAAAACCAAGGGUACAUCUGUUCCUCCUAUACCUCUAUUCCUUUUAUUAUACAUCAGCUGUCAACAUCAUGAAAAUAGAAAAUCCAAGAAUUUAGUUUCGUUUAGAAGAUCACCAAACUGAAGGUGACUCUUUCCAAGAAUAUUUGACUAUCUGGUUGCUAUAUAUGACUUCAAUCAUGCAUGAAUAGUCAAAACCCAAUAGUAACCGUAGUUUAAGUAAUCUAGGUGUAUAUGUGUAGACAGCUGGAAUUAUCUUGCAUAAAAACUGUAUAGUGAAUUAGCUGGAUGCAAGCAGGCAUGACACAGCCAAAAGGGAAGAAAUAGGAUGUGAGACUAGUAGAUGAUGCUUCUUGUCUUGCUUAAUGAGCGUUUCCAUCAUUAGCUUAAAGUGUUAGUGCGCUUUAUGAACACUUAAUAUCUUAAAUGAUAUGUUUGCUUCAAUCAACUGCGUGCAGCCUGUGGGGUGUGCCACUCGGAUCUGCAUGUAAUAAAAGGUGAGCUUCCAUUUGCAAGCCCUUGCGUCGUGGGCCAUGAGAUAACAGGUGAGGUCGUUGAACAUGGCGCACUCACCGACUCUAAAAUCGUUGAAAGGUUUAACAUUUAGUUUGUGUGUCCCUUUCGUGAUAUGCAGUGUAGUUGCAAACAUGCUCACCUUUUACUGAUUCUUUGCUUUGAAUUUUAUUUCUUCAGAUUUCCUGUAGGAGCUCAAGUUGUUGGAGCUUUCAUAAUGCCUUGUGGUAGUUGUUUCUUUUGCUCUAAGGUGGCUUGCAUUGAUACUUUACUUUUCAUCUGCUUGCCAUAUUUGUAUGUCAUUCGUUUAUACUUCAUUUAGAGCAUAAUAAACAAAUCAAAUUAUGAGCUGAUGAUGAAUUUGGGUUGGAAAUAGGGUCAAGAUGACUUGUGUGAGUCAUUCUUUGCUUAUAACCGAGCAAAAGGAACACUUUAUGAUGGUGAAACACGGCUAUUUCUCCGUAGCAAUGGUAAUCAAGUCUUUACAGCUUUUUUGUUGGGUUUCAAACUGCUUUGCUCUACUUGUAGGUUGAGUGUAUAAUUUUUUGCAUUUGAUCACCUUAUGUUGCCACUUUGGUGUGGAAUAUUAUAGAUCACAACUUUUUGAAAUUUUUGUAGCAUCAGGAAUCUUUAAACUUUGAUGUUAAAUCCAAAUAUGGAUGUGUCUCCUUAUUCCAAAGAAAGGGUCUUUUCCCUUAUUUUUAACUGUAUUACAAUAUUCGUAAGAAGUUGAAUUUUCAUUUGAGUUGUAUUUGAAGAUUCCCAUGUUUUCUUCCAUAUUAUGCUCCAUUAAACCAUUGCACAAAUAGUUGUUUUCCCUAAUGUCUACCAAAAUUUCCAGUGUCUAUUAUGGAUAUUUUACCUCCAUCAAGCUACAAGAAUUAAAGCUUUGUGCAAAGUAUAGCUUUGCUUUUAUGGUUAAAGGUUCAAAUUUGGGUUUCCUGCAUAAGCUCCUGAUGGAUCUUCAUUUUGUGGGAUUUGCCAAACAAUUUUUUGCUUCUUUAAGUGAAAAUGAUUCUUUGUAGAACAGGCUUUAAGAAGUUUGUUUGAUUUUGGAUGCGCAGGAAAACCAGUGUAUAUGUACAGUAUGGGAGGUCUUGCGGAGUACUGUGUAGUGCCAGCACAUGGAUUGACUGUUCUACCGAAUUCCUUGCCUUACACUGAAUCUGCUAUACUGGGUUGUGCUGUUUUUACUGCCUACGGGGCUAUGGCUCAUGCUGCACAGGUUCGCCCUGGCGAUGCCAUUGCUGUGAUUGGCAUAGGUGGUGUGGGCUCAAGGUAUAAAACUCAGAUUCCUUGGGUAGUACUGCCCAUUCUAUUUACAGGUUUAAAUAUUUCAUUUGGGUUUUAUGACCAAAUGAGAAAUGCAGGUUUCUGUGAAACCGAGAAAGUUGUUUAAUUAUAAUGAUAGAAGCAUAAUGUAUAUCCAGAUAUGGUGUUUGGAUUUCGUUUAUGAAGAUUGCUUUUAUGUUAUGGGAGUGAAAAGUUACUCAAGGUAUCAAUGGAAGUACUUCUAGAAUUUUUCUUCCUUUCAUCUGUACUCUUCUCUUUUUAUCAGUGAUAAGGCCUGAUGACUGACACUGUGAAGGCCUUGUUUCCGUGUUGAAAGGGCAAAAAAGACUAAUUGAGAUACUUCCUCUUGGAGAGAUAGCCAUCCAUUCAUACUCUCUUGAUCAUUGAAGUGCAUGAGUAUGCCUUCAUAUGCUUUGAUUAAGCUUGGUGGAUAAUGCUCUAAAUAUAGUACAAUUUUCUGGCGAUUAAGAUUUUUGGAGAUAUUCUUGGGUUUGGGCAUCUCAAUAGUUGUUGUUGUUAUCAUGGCUUAUAACUCAUUUUUCAUGGUCUUUUUCAAAAUGCACCAGUUACCCAUUCUGAUUCUCAAGUACUGGAAAAGGAUAUGGGAACUUUUGCAGAUGCUUGCUUGAAAUUUAUGUGCCACGAUUAUCUUCUGGACCAAUCAAUCUUCACUACAUUUAACUUGUUGUGCAUGACUUGCAAUCGUCUCAUGAUUACUAAUUGGUGGAAGAGCAACUCUCAAGGAUCUGUGUUUAGGGAAAUCACAUAUAACGCUGGAAAUAGAAGUUAACAGUUAUAACUACAAGAAAGUGUUGUUGCUCAUGGAUCUUCAUGUUUUGGAUGCUGGAUGAAAUCAAUAUAUACCUACACAUGAACUUUUACCUUACUACAUGAAAACGUAGACCAUGAUGGUAGCAGCCAUUGUCAAAAUUGUCUUUUUUUUUUUUUUUUCCUUUGCUUCUCUCUUUUUACUCUUUAUUCUUGAUAUCUUCCUGCACAAAAAUUAGAACUUUUGGCAAUUUAAGCUUUAAUUUAGUGAAGUACAGAAUGUAAAAGUAAAUACAAAUCUCAUUUUGUUUUUUUUUUCCUUGCUCAGUUGCCUGCAGAUAGCACGGGCAUUUGGGGCUUCUGAGAUUAUUGCUGUGGAUGUCCAAGAUGAGAAACUGCAGAAAGCAAAAACUCUUGGAGCUACUUAUACCAUAAAUGCACGAAAUGAAGAUGCUGCUAAAAAAAUUAAGGUAGUUGAUCCUUUUCUUUUGUAUUUAAUUUCGAGAUAAGAACAAUUUCUUAUUAUAGGGUUUCUGAAACAAUAAUGUUUUACACUUUUUGUCAUGUUAAAGUAGUUUCUUGAAAAGAUUGGCUUAGGCAUGUAAAGUCCUGCCAACGAAGUAAUUGAGCCUUCUUUGCAGGUGGGCAUGUGGUUCACAUUUUGCUUUUCUUGGGUGUAUGUUCUUACUUUUUUGCUAAUUUAGAUUAUACAUACAUGUGUUUCAAUGUGUUUCAUAUCUAAUAUUUUAAUUUUCAUGCUGAGUUAUUGUUCUAUGGAUUUGCAUCCUGAUGAAAACAUACCUAAGCUUGAAUCUUUCUGAUGCAAAACCUGAACUAUGGCAUUCUUCAUGCUGCUCUAUUAGAUAGUUUUGACUUCAUACAAUUUUAAUUAGCUUUCACAAGUACCCACCUUAUCCAUCUAGAUUGAAAAGUAGCUUUCCUAGAUUAAUUGCUGCUGCACACCCCUCUAGUCUUGUGCAAACAGAUUCAACAGUUUCUCUCUCUCGGUAUCUGCUUUUCCAUUUCUCUCUCCUUUUGACUUUCUAUAUGUGACUGCCCAUAGAUUUAUGUCUCUGACAGAACAUAAUACUUGAUUGGCAAUCAUUUGAAGCUAGAAGCUGCAUACAAGUUCUUAAUUAAAAAUUCCUUGUAAAGAGAUGAUUAAAGGUUCCGCGGAUAACAGGUUUAUUUUAACAGGAAAUAACAGGGGGAAUGGGUGUAGAUGUUGCUGUGGAAGCCUUGGGAAAACCACAAACCUUUAAUCAGUGUGUUCAGAGUGUUCGAGAUGGAGGAAAAGCAGUAAUGAUUGGCCUUACACUCUCUGGUGCCAAAGGCGAGGUUGACAUAAAUCAUUUGGUUCGUAGACAGGUGUGUGAAUUAUUUCAUAGAAAUUAAAAUUUCUGUUUUACAUAGUGAAUUUUUAUUCUAAAGUAGUAGUAGUAUUUUUCUUUACUCGAAAGCACAACAUGGACCCGUUUAAAUAAACAAUUUUGUUUAGAAAUUUGAAUUGUUCAGGGAAGGGAUAAUUUAGUUGGCAGGCCCAUGCUAAUUGUGUUAAAGGUAAAUUUCUAGAUUAGACAUGGUGAAAACUAGAAGGUACUAACUAGUUACUGGAAUUGAGGUCGUGCUUGUAACAAGUGACAUCUGAGUUCGUCUAGCUUGGUGAUUAAAAAGCAUCAGUAUCAAUCUCUAUUUGGCGGUAAAAACUAAAACUGGAAAUUACCGGCCUCUCUACAUGGUUAUUGAGGUUCCUUGCGACGAGUUGCAUCUUGUAUUCAUUCACCUUGCAAUUUAGAUUGUCGGUGGCCCUCCUAUUGCCAGUUACACAGUCAAAAGUUCUUGUGCUUCCCUUUCAGCAAGAGGACUGUAGGAAUGUGAUUCUGUCAUUCAGACAAUUCAUUGUCAAUAGCUUUUUCCUUGCUCAAGCUCUCCGAUAAUGCACAUUAGGCUUCUAGAUAAUCAGAUUACCUUUUCCAUUUCAUGCUUGUUGUGCGUAACAUACUUCUUUUGGCAUUUGCAUGUUGCAGAUAAAAGUAAUUGGAUCAUAUGGGGGUAGGGCGAGGCAAGAUUUGCCCAAGUUGGUUAAACUAGCAGAAAGUGGCAUAUUCAAUCUCAAGGCAGCUGUUUCCAGGACAUUGACGUUUGAAGAGGCUGAUAAAGCAUAUAAGGACCUUGACAAGGGAAACAUUAUUGGACGUGCUGUUGUGGAGAUCAUGUAAUUUCGCACUCUGAAACUUUGAAAGAAAUGGUUCUUGCCAUGCCACAGUGCCGGCCUAUAAGUUCUUGUUGUCUGUGAAACUAGAGUUCAGUUUGUAAAGAAACAACUCUUUCUGAGUCUGGAAAGACAAAUGGAAAAUACUUUUGCUUUUUAAUAAGUAACAUUUUAGCACUUGAUUUUACUCCUUUAUAACUUGCAGUGGUCUUUUUAACUUGCAGAUAAUGCAACUUCUGCAAAAAUGCAUUUAGAUGUUCUCCUUUAUAUCUAGAAAUCUUCCAUUCAAGAAAAGCAUUAUCAAACUGCUAUUAUUCAUGCAGAGCAGUCAUUGUGCAUAUUGUACUGAAUGGACAAAUCAGGGUUUGGAUUGUGGUUUUACGCAGAAAACUUUUUACGUUUUCCGUGAACACAUUUUUCAAUUAUCUUUUUAUCUUGUAUAUAUAUCAAAUUAUUACAACAUAUUUUUCCACAAAAACUUCUAAAAAUAAUAAUUCAACCGACAGACCUGAACAUUCUCUUAGGUGCAAUUUGUCUUCUUAGCUUAACAACAGGCUUGUGGAGAAUGAAAAGAGAAAUUCCAAGAUAAAAAGAAUUACUAACAGGGAGGUUAUCUGGAAGAUUGAUCAAAUAAAGUAGGUAGAAUUUUGUUUACAAAAAUGGAUUUAUACUUCACGUCCCAUCUAUAUUAAGUUUUUCCUUUUUAAAUUUAUUUUUCAACAUAUCUAGUCUAUGCGGGAAUGGGGAGCUUUUCAAUCGAGUUCUGAUUGCUGACGUGGCGAGCUUCCAUUGGCCGAUUGGUGGUCGUCUGCCUCGUGUGAAUUCGCUCGCGUGAAUUUGGUCCGUCCAGCCGAUUGUUUCUUUCUUUUCUUUGUUUGCUUGGAUGUCUACAUUGGAGCCUGCCGCAAAAUUGUGGUCCCACGUCCUUUGGUUUUUUUUCCCUUUUCUUUUUUUAAAAUUGGAUGGAAGUGCUUGUUAAUAACCUUUUUUUGGAUGCUACAGCCCCUCUCAUUCCCUUGUUGGUUUAGAAUUAUCCCGGCAGAAUUAUCCAAUAAUUCCCUUAUUGAAUUGGAAUUAUCCCUCUUUUUAAACUAUCUAAUUAGCAUUUUCCCCAAUUGUUAGCUAAAGAAUGCCUUUUGUGGUUCCUAAAAAAAACGCACAUAAUUAUCAAAUUCUUUCCAAUUAAUUGUUCGUUAACUGAUUAAUAAACUCGAUUUUUACUUAUUACGUAACAAAUCGCAUUUAGCUAUCCCCCUCUUACAAUUAUUGACAUAUUUGGACUUUCCAACUAAAUCGCAAUUACUUAUCGAUUUCUUGUAAUUGCCUUAUAUUAAUUAUUGGCACAUGCUUUUUUUUUUUUAGAAUGAGAGGGGGUUUAUUUGGUAUCGAUUUUACGUAAACAAUCAACAAUGUGGUGCGCUUCCGUUGGUGUCAUUUAUCGUUUGUCCACGCCGCGCACCGCAUUUGAUUAUCGAUUCUCCGUUGUUAAUUUUUAUAACUAUUUAUUUAUCUCUUUUUAUUUGGAUUCCCUUUUUUUAACCAAUAAAUCACGUUUAAUUACCAAUUAUUUAUUCUUAAUUGUUAAUGACUUAUUAAUGAUGCCAUUUUUUCCCUUUCUCAACAAUAGAUUGUGUUGCCAAAAAACUUGAUAUCCCGGUUCUUUACAAUUAUUACUACUUUCCCUUUGUUUCCAGAUAAAUUGCACUUAUUAAUAAUUAUUUUUUUUUUGCAAUAAUUGCUUAUAUAUUAUCUUUUUUUGCAAUAAUUGCUUAUAUAUUAUCUUUUUUUAAAAUUGCUUUUGUUAUCCUUCAAUUGUGAAAAUUUUACACUUCAAUUGAUUUUACCUGGUCACGCCACACACCAUGCUUAAUUAUUGAUUCCCGACUAUUAAUUGUUAUAAUUAUUUGCUUACCUAUUUUUAUUUGUGUUCUUUUUUUUGUUAGCAAACAAAUCAUAUUUGAUUACCAACUUUUUAGAAUACAUUGUUAAUAACUGAUAAAUAAUACCAUUUUUUUUUAUCGCCAUUUUUUGUUACCCAACAACUGGCAUUUAAUUCAUAACUUUUUUGCAAUUAUUAGCAACAUUUCUUUUCUUGUCAGAGAUAUCACAUCUAAUUUCCUUUUUUCCAAAUUUCAUUAAGAAAAUGUCCUCUUUUGUUUUGGGUUGCCCAACAAAUGGACUUUAAUUAUCAGUUUUUUUCAAUUACUCUUUUAUUAAUUCGGUUCUGAUUUGGCAGUUUUAUUGCUACAAAAAUCACAUUUAAUUGCUGGCCUUUUUUAGUAUUAAUACUUUUUGUUACCCACAAAAAUCGCAUUUAAUUACCAAUUCUAUGUAGUUAUUAGCCAAGAAAUAUGCUUGUCUUAUUCUUUUCUUUCGUUACUUUUCCUGUCGUAACCAAACUCCUUAUUGCUAAUCUGAUUGACUCAUUUUUACAAACAAGCCUGCAUCUUGUUUGUUUAGUUCCAGAGCAAGCUUUCUCGAGUUCCUCAUCAGUCACUACUUGUCACCAGCCUGUUUCUGCCGACAAGUGACUGUACUUGACCUGAUUAAUUGCUACCUUAAUUUUCUAUAUUACCCAUCCCUUGUGACUAUAUUUACGAUUCCACUCCAUGGACCUUGUCGCCUUUUGUCCUUUACUUGAGGUUAUGUUUGUAAAUCUAUAAACAACCGUCAUUUUUCGCCAUUGUCUACCAUCAGCUUCCUUUUGCUGCGGUUGAUUGACACUGUUUGGUGUUUUGCAUUUGCACAAUGGAUACAGAGUUUCUCUGGUUUUCCGCGGCGGAUUUUCUACUGAGCAUCAUCAUGAACAAUGGUAAUUGUGCACCCGCUGCAUUCUUUUCUCUAUUCUAAAACUCUUGUUUCUUUGUUAGCCAGAGGGAACUACCUCAUACCGAUUGUUCUUCGUUUUCUUUGGCUGUUUUGAACCUUCAUUUUCCCUAAUUUAUCAGUUUGGUUUUAAUUUGCACUGGUGCUGUCGUUUUUGCUUUCCUGGUGAGCAUGUUGGUUUUAUAUUCGGCUUAAUUUGUUGUUCUUUAACUGUUUAUAUAUUUCAAAGAUUGCUAUCAGGCUGCUUUGCUUUUUAUUUCUUCCUUGCUUCUCGGCUUUCUAAUGCACUGGUUCAACUAUUUUUCCUCUUUUUUUGUCUGCCCCUUCUAAAUUAUUAUCACCGAAUUAGCUUCUAUUUUUCUCUCCCAUUUUUUUCACCUUUUCUUAUGACCUCUUACAUGAUUGCCAUUUCUUUGAUAGUUUCUGCUGCUAUUCACUUCUGCGGUGUUGAGCUUCUUCGUGUUCACAGGUUAGCUCUUCUGAUUUUGUUCUCGUUUUGCUCUUUUCUCUAUAUUUUAUCCUUAAUUUGUGCAUCUUUGGGAUAUAUUUUCUGAUGCAUCAGCACUUAUGGCCUGCUCCAGCUUUUCCUUUUUUUAGUUUGUGACUUUUUGACUUCCUGUAUCUUUUGUGAUCCUUAUUCUUGCAUAUACGUGUUAUUCUAUUGUUUCUGCUGCUAUACUUACAUGCCUGAUUAUUUUUUAUGUAAGCAUUUGUUCUUUGCUCGGCUGCCGCUAUUAACUCCUUCAUCUCUUUGUGUUCGCUUGUUUUUUGCCUGCUCUGCUUUCUGCCAGUUUUCGAUUUACAUUCUUUUUUGCUAAGUUAGACAUUCCUUUCUUUAUAUAGUCCUUCGACAUUUUUUGCUCUUACUAAAAAAUGAUGGAUGGAAAUGCUACUCGCCGCAAAAAAUACGCAGAAAUGCCAUCUUCGAAAAAAAUGCAACUUCUGCAACGCCGGAAAGAAAAUAGAGCUGCCAAGAAAAAGAAUGCGCAUUUACUCCCACGUAUUCGUAAGGUUCCACUGGGUUAUAUGGAAUCGGGUGUUUCUUUCCCUGAUUCGCAUCAUGAAACCCUUGAUGGUGCGAAUCACUCUUCUAUGCAUAGUGAAAUCUUAGGAGCCGAGGCCUUGAAGAGCGGUAAUGACAAUGCUGCUGUCAUUACUGAGGCAUUACAAUAUAUGUCCUCUCAUGAAUCCGCUCCUUUUAUUCCUCGCGUCCAUUCUGCUCCCUCUUCUCAGACUGCAAACGACAUAGCGGGAAUCUGAUAUUUGAUGUUAUUCACUUUUGUGAACUACAAAAACAAGUUCUUCUGCCUUGGACCGCCCCCCUACCAGAUCUAUUGCACAUGAAUGCCAUUGCAUCAAGAGGUCAAAAUACCGCUGUACCUAUCUCAUAUCCUCAUCUAUAUAGUAUAUUAUUUUAAUGUAACACAGUCAUUUGAUGACAGAUGAUAUCCACAUGGCCGCUACACACCAGCAAGUUACUUCCUCGCUAAGACCAGAUUUCUGUCAAGAUCUAUCUGAUUCAGUGUGCUUUUAUCAAAUCUUUAACUCCGCAACUCCAAACAGCUUGGUAAGCUAUUCUAUGUUUACCUGCAUUCUCUUUUUUCAUCUCAACUUUCUCGCAAGCAAUUUCCUUUUGUUUCUGCAUAUCUUCUAAUCUGCACCUUUUGAUGAUAGAAUAUUCCGCGCUUUGUUGAUCACUUCAUCAAUGAUAUCAAGACUCCCAUGUUACUUAUCAACACUGGACAAAAAACUACUCAAAUUGCUGUAAAGCAUAAACGCCUUCAUCGAAACUGGAGAGAUUUCGUUCUUCAACAUCAAUUGCAACACAAUGAAACUCUGGUCUUUGUUCCGGAAUCUGAAAAUAUAUUUACAGUUUUAAUCUUCGAUGAUACCGGAGUUGAAAAAUAUUUUCCUUGGUAUCACACAUUCAAUAUUUAUUCGGAUGCUUAAUGAAUUUAGCUGAACCGUGCAGUGUAAUUUACCUAUCGAUUGAAUACAUUACUGGUAGUUUCCACUUCUUCUUAGCUAAACCAAGCAACCACUACCCCACGAUCAGUGUUAAUGCAUUGAUUCUUCUUUGAAUUAACUAAUUUUACAAAAUUAAUUAUUCAACUGGGCAUCACUGUGCAUCACUGCUUUCACCCACCGCGCUAUGCGCGGUGAUCCCUCCUAGUAUUUAGAAAAGGAGUGAUGGGAAGGGCGCAAAAUCAACCUCAGGCCACGUCAGCGCCUUCCCCCCACCCCCCCUCGGCCUCCUUCCCUCUCCAUUUUAAACAGAAAACAUAAACCCUAACACACACUCAUUCACUUCCUCCCGGUCCUCUCGCUCGCUCUCAGACAAAUAGAAUGAAGAAGAAGAACCAGAAGACGACCGACUCGUCGGCCGCAGCUCUUAUUCCUACACGUUCUACGGCCGAUCUCAAAGCCCUAAUUCAAUCUCACAGCGACUUCUUCGACAGGCUAAUCGAACUCAUCCCAGCAAGAUUCUACCUCCCACCUGAUGACGACGUUUCUGACAACCCCAAGCCCUACUUCCACGGCCUCUCCAAAGCUGCCAAAGCUUCCCUCAAACGCCAAUCCAAGCAAAACCUCAAACUUGCCCGCCGCAACCGCCUCGACCCGGACAAAAUCUCCCAUUCCUCCACCCUCGACCUUCUCAAACAAUCCCUGGACACCAGUGCCCAUGGCGGUGAGGUUGCUGAAAUACCCCCGCAAGACGUCCCGAGGGCUAUUGAUUUAGAGGAGAAGAAUGGUGGGGAUGGUAAUGAUGGUGAAAAGGGUCAAGAAAAGCAGGUUACUUACGAAGAAUUGCGUGAGAAAUUGAGGAAAAAGAUUGAGUCGUUACGCGGGAAUCGAGGCGAGGGGAAUAGGAGUGCUAGGAAGGGGAGGGAGGAUAAUAAGGAUAGAGAUAAUCAUAGAGGAGAAAAGAAGAGAAAGAGGGAUGGUGAAGGGAGCAGUGGGAAGGGUGUUGAAGUGGUGGAAAAUGACAGUGAAGAGAUAAUAGAGUAUGGGAAAGUGAAGAUAGGGGACGAUGAGAUGGAAGGGGAGAAGAGGAAAAAGAAGAGGAAAAUGUCGAAGGUGAAGGAGUUGGAUAGAGCUAAGCGGUUGGAGGAGGUCAAGAAAGAGAAUCCCAGGGUAGCAGAGAGGGAAUGGUGGAGGGCAGCUGAGAAUAGGGCAAUGGGAGUGAAGGUGCAUGACGAUCCAAGGUUGUUGAGGGAGAGUAUGAAGAAGGAGAAGAAGAGGAAGGAAAAGAAUGCAGAGAAGUGGAAGGAGAGGAUUGAGGGCCAGGAGAAGGCUAAGGAGGGGAAGCAGCAGAAGAGGAAGGAGAACAUUGAAGGGAGGAUUAGGGAUAAAAAGAUGAGGAAGAUUGCUAAAAGGGAGAAGAAGCUCAUGAGGCCUGGGUUCGAGGGGCGCAAGGACGAGUACAUUACGAAAGAUUAAGGUUAGGGGAAGUAAAACUUUUUUCUGGAAAUGGUAUUUGUGUUUUUGGGGUAAUUUGUUUUGGCGAAAAUAAUGUGUUUUAGGAAAGGGUUGUAUUUUCGCUUUGUAAUUUAGAUAUGUUUAUGCAAAUGUUGUCUUAGAUUGCUCUUUAAUAAGGCUUCUCAUUUUGUGAAGAGUCUUGGUUGGAACAAGGAACUUUAUAACACAAUUGUUAUAUUGUAAAAUUUCAGUUGCUGUUCGUCUGGUUCUCAUGUGAAGCAAUUAUCAGUUUGUUUUACGUUGGAAUAAUUAUUAGUUUGUAAAAAAGUUCUAUGAGUGUACUGGUAGCUUUAGUGAUAGGAUAAUUAGUUUUUCUGUACAAUGCCAUAUUUGAGUUUGUAAUUGCUGACAUCUUAACACCAAACCCUUAUUUGUUAUGAUCUACCAUUUGAUAGAAAUGCAAAAUGAAAAAAGAAUUUUAGCUGGGGUUCUGUGACUUGACAUAGCCGGGAAAUGAUUCUAAAUUAUGCUUCUGCAUUUUUGGCCUUGUAGAGUCCAAGUUGCUUCUGGCUCGAAAGAUCUUUGACAAAUGAGUCAAUCCUGAACAUCUAUACUACAUAUGAGGCAUUAGCAUUUCUUUUGGUGUAAUUUCCUCACAGCGUGUGAUUCCAUAGAUACCCUUCCCCUUAUGCUUUAUUUGUUGAACUCAUGAAGUCAUAUUUUGGUCGAUAAGCUAAAUUUUGAGUGCUGGAUUAAAAGAUUUUAUUUUGCAUUUAUUAUUUAGUUUAAUACUGAUAAUUUUUUAUUUUUAUAUUAGACUAGUUUUUUAAAUAGGAAAAAUGACACAAAAUGUACCUCGCCUUUUCCAAUUAAAAUUUUGCGUUCCUUAAAUUUGAUUACAAGAAACAGAACAUUUUAUUCUUGAAUUCCUACAGCAUAUAUAUAUGACGUUUACUUUCUUUUCUUUUCAGUUAAAACAAAACUAUCUACUUAGUUUUUCAAAUUAAUUAUAAAAUUCUUCCACUCUUGUAUAUAUUCUUUGCUUUUUUUUUUUUUCUGUUCUGUUAAAACUUUCUCCAGAAGGUAAAAGGACAAUGGAUAGGCUGUCAGCAAUUCUCUGCACCACAAGACUUCACAUUUUUGUUCCCAUAAGUAGAAGAGAGACAAAAGAUACAGAAGCAUUUUGCUGGCAAACAAACUGAAAGUACACAACUCCUACAGCAUUGAUCCUGGACAUCAGCAAACAUAAAUCACACGAAACAUAUUAUCUUCUUCAACUAUUACAAGUACUAAGAACUUCAAACUUGAAUCCACCUAGAAUUCACAGCUGAUAUGAUUGUGAGGAGGAGAUACACCAUGACACCAAAGUAGGAGAGUGCCACAGAUAUAGCAACUUUUCUACAGAAUUUGCCAAAGUCGUCACAGAUUGGCAUCCAACCAGUAUGGCUAUUCCCAUGUUGUCCAACGUAUCCAAUUGCAGUUGCUGCUGCACAUCCGGCCAUCAGUAGCGUAACCACCAUCUGUCAAAAAAAAUUCAUCAAAAUUCGAAAACCGACUCAGAGGUUCAACAUGUUCAUUUCUUUCUUUCUUUUUUCUUGGAAUUACAACAGUAUAGUACUGUAACAUGAAUGGUCACCAAAAUUUUCUAUCAUGACAUACCAAAUCAUGGAGGAAAAAGUAGAAAAACUUCAUUCCAACCAGAGAUUUGUAACUAAUGACGAGGAGAAGAAGCAAGGAUAAAGCCGAGACUGCACACACGAUGACAUUGGCAUACGCGAAGAAUCUGCACAUUCGCGAAAUAAUAAUUUCAGGCAUAUAUACAAAUUCAUCUAUGAAAUCCAAAUACAGCAAUGCAUAUAGAAAAUAUGGUUAGAGAUGGUACUAGUGUUUCUUACUUGAAUGCUGGAGAGUAGCUAUAACGUGCAUCAACAACCAUCCCAAAAACCGCAACAGUUUGCUUGCUAGUGAGGAUAAUCCAUGCUGCAGCGAGGGUGGCUACGGUGGCCAAAAGCCUCAAGCAAAUUUGGGCCAUAAAGGAAAGUUUAUGGGUUUUAAGAGUUGAGUUAUGGAUGUGCUUGGCUUCAACGUUUUCCAUUUCAGAGUUUUCUUGAACUUAAGCAAGACGAACCAACAAUUACUAAUAUGUUCUUUACCAUCAGUUGCAGGAUACAAUUAAUCUAUAACUGUAGAUCUAGGAUAUGAAUUUGGGAUGCCGAAUUUUGGGGGGUAUUUAUAGGCGAACAAAGGUGUGGGAUGUGGGGAACUGGAUCAGUCUACCAAAACAUGGGCACGAAUUUAGUGCAACUAGUUCUUACGUGAAAAAUGGCGUGUCAUUAUGAUUUGAAGAAGAACUAAAAAAGUUUUGUUGGAGCUAUUUCUAGAGGUGUUUGUCUGUCCCUAUAUAUACUUGGUGUAAAUUAAAAGAACAAAAUAAUGAGCAGUUAUUAAAAAAGUUUUAUUAGGUAGUGUAAUGUGAUUUUUUUUUAUCGUUAAACAAAAAAAAAAAGGGAGUUAUUGGCAGUUAUUGGAAUCUACUAAUUAGCUUUUUAGUGUGAGGGUACAUAGAGCGCAAAUUAAAGAAAAAAAUAAUGAGCAGUUAAAAGGUUUUAUCAGGUUGUGUAAUGUGAUUUUUUUUUUGUUAAACAAAAAAAAAAAAAAAAGAAAGAGAAGUUAUUGGCAGUUAUUAGAAUCUACUUUUUAGCUUGUCAGUGGAAGGAUAAAAAAAAAAAAAGUGACAAAAAAAAUUUUACACCGUACCCCUGUCUUCUCCCUUUAUAUACAGUAAGAUAAGAUAUAAGAUAAUAUAUUCAUGGGCUUCAUUUAAAAGCGCUGAGCAUGACCAAAUCAAUGCUAGACUUUUUUCUUUGUCAUUUUCAAAUGUUCAGACAAACAAAGAUUGCAGGCUUCAAAUCCUCUGUACUCAAAGUAACCUCUGUCCCUUAUUUGUGGUAAAAAGGAGUUUUAUUGAUUUGGGGUAAAAAAUAAAGAAGAGUUUUAGUUAAUUUCUAUGUUUAUGAUCAACAAGACUCUUUUUUGUUAAAAAGAAAAUAAAAAAAAGUUUUGAGUUAUCUAUUUUAAUUGAUUUUGAGUAAACUUGUAAAUAGAUUAUUAUCGUUUAUUUGAGUUCGGGUUAACAAAAGACUAGAGACACGUGACAGCUGUACAAAUAAGGGACAGAUGCUACUUUGGGGACAGAGGAUUCGAAGCCAAGGUUGCAAAAAUAAAGAAGAGGGACUAACUUAUCCACUUUGCAGCAUUAUAUACAGUUUUGAAGAUAUUUUUGAGACAUGGAGGCAAUGAGUUAGCAACUUUGUUGGGAUUCAUAAUGUCAGUUUUUGGGCCAAUUACAAGAAUAAUACCAAACUUACAUAUCUAUACUGUACUAUGCAUAAAAUCUGAAGACGGGGUUUGGAGUUAACAGAAAAGCUGCAUCAUGUAAGCCAAUACAUCUUUGUUUUUGGAAAUAUGAAUGAUAUAAGAAACUGAAAGAAGAUAGUGAUAAGAUGGAAUGGUUAUUUUGUUUCAUGCAACCAUUCUGUUUCUUUAUCUCAUAGUGUCAUGAGAUUCCUUUUUGGCCUUCAGGAUCAUUUAGACGUUAGACAAGGGUAACUCAGGACAAAAGUAAAAGAUGAUGAAGAUCCAUUUUCAAGCUAAUUCAAGUGUUGAGGGCUUUAAACAAAAUCCAAUAGCACUGCAAAGAUUUUAGUGUUUAAUUAAUUUAAUUUUCUUUGGAACUGGAAAAUCCCAUUUCUUUCAGCUAUUAGGCCACAAAAUCCAAUAGCUUCCAAACUUCAUUUGCAUAUGAAAAAGAUAGAAAUCAAUUGAUUUCUAGUUUCUACUCAUAAUCUAAGAGGGGAGCCUUUCAUGUUAUUGUUUAUUAAGCCAACUGUCCCUUCAACUUCAAGAGAUCUUUUACUUUUAACUAAAAAUGCAUUGGGAAUAGAUGACUGAUACCAGCAAAUCAAUGCUUUUAUAGCAAUUUUGGUGCCUGCAAAAGAUCUUUACUCCAACAGGUUGCAUGCUUCAAAAAUGGAGCUUACAAAAAGCCCAUUGCCCUCCGGCAUGUGCUCUCUUUUCCAUUCAAUACAAGCAUAACAAGUUUGCAUGAAAAAAAAAAAAAGGACCCAUCUUUUAUGAAACAGAACCAUCUUCUUUUUUUUAUUUUUCCCAAGGGUGGUAAAAUGAACUUUUGAACGUUUUCAUUUCUUGCUAUGAUCAGUUGUGUUUGUCCAUUCUUUUCGAACACUUCGACUCUAUUCCCAUGUUUGUACUUUUCUUUGCAUGCAUGGGUGACCUGCAUCUUGAUAUUCAAGUGAAAGUUGCAGAAAAAGAAAAAGACUAACUUGCAGAGUUCUUAUUUUCUGCCUGUCCAUUUCAAGUACAAAGAGAAAACGUCAUGUAUUACAUUUACAAAGUAGAAAACGUCAUGUAUUAUUCUGAAUAAUUAUAGCCAAUGAACUUCAAAUUCCAAUCCUUGCUGCAAAUUUAUUUAUUUAUUUUUUGUUUAAUUAACAUUCUCGUAUAAACGUAGGCCAAGUUUUCUAAGUAAAAUUAAGAAGAAUAAAAGAGAGUUCUACACCAGCUACUUGGGAGGAAUGCACCAUUAGCUCAAUAUCUAGUUUGGUUUGGAUCUUUCAACAAAAAUUUUUCUCACCAUGCUGAUGGUUCCUGCAGUUCAGUGAGGGCACUACAAUCUGACAAAAGUUUGUUUCCUUUUUUUUUAAAAUUGGUGGAAGACAAUGGUUCUUUCUUUUGACCAUUGUCAAAUAGGAGUAUAGAAUGGGCAAUUGAAAGGAAUAUGAGUAUGAAUGUGCUUAAAUUUAGUAUACACAAACUUAGCCAGCAAAUUUGGUAAAAUGUACAAAAUAAGAGGGCUUUGAAUGCAAUGUGCAAGGAUUAAAGAAUCUGUGUACAAUGUUGGUAUGGGUACAAAUUUUUCCUACACAGUAAAUUGAGCAAUGCACCUAAACAUAUCAGCCAGAAGGACUUUCACCAUGAUGAGAAGGUGAUGAAGUGUCACUUUCUAGCUUUGAUUUAGUCCUUUUUCAAAGGAGCAUGAAAGCUUAUCUACACUGUUUACAACUCUUUCACUAGACUGAAUGAUCUAUUUAUUCUGAUGGAUUUACAGGUGACAUGGACUAUGGCCAUGUCUGUAAAUGGCCAAGAAGAUACAUGUACUGAUAUUUACAAGAAAAGCUACAUCAGUUGGUAACUUAACAGGAGUUUUUAGUUGUCAAGGUCAAAGUACUUUGGAUCAGAUGGAUAAUGAUAUUCCACAUGCAACUGCAAUGCCAAACUGAAAACCAGUUAGAGAGUCUUAAAUAUUCUCGGAUGUCAAAGACUCGCAUUAACUAGCAACAAAGAGUACAUUGAGUAGUAGAGAUCCUGUAGGUCUGGCAUUUCAAUCAGUAAAAACUGCUAUCAUACAUGCUUAGUGUUCUUUUAGAGCACUACAAUUCAUGUUGCAGCAGAGAUAAUGCCCAUUAUCUAUGAAUUUGCUUGUAAUUCUCUCAUGCUCAACUGCUAAGUGCAAAUUAUAAAAUUCAAUUGUGCAUGACAGAAUCAUAAACAAAUCCACAGAAAUUAUGUGGAUGAUUGCAUAUAUAAGGCUCACAGCCAAUUGACAAAGGCCACACGCAGUAACUACUACUAGUCAUAGAUAGAAGGUAUCAUGCUCAAAACAGACUACGACAAUAUAGCUAGUCAUGGCCCAGAGAUGGUAAACUUGAUAUUUGAAUGAAAAAUUGAACGAGUUAGCAUGUGAAAAAUCAAGAAAAAGAAAAACAUGAAUUAAGGGGGAUUUAGAACACAAAGUAAUAGAUAAUUGAGAACAAGAGUUCAACAACAACUUGUGUAUGCUUUCAGUAACAUUAGAAUUAGUAUAAUUCAGGCUAUCUAGCAUAUUAUUCAGUUUUAACCUCACCAAUUAUCUUGUCCUCAGGCAAGUUACAGUUACAGUCCCAAUUCCUAAAUAUAGUUAUUUAUCUGCAACAAACCAAAUGCUUUCAAAGCAGGUAUACAUCUUCGCUUAGACAUAUAAAAUUUGAAAAAGAAACAGUGAGAUUACUAUUUUUGCUUUUCCCUACUGAAUUCUUGAUUCAGGUUGAAGGUCAUGUCUCUUAUAGCAAUUUACUUCAGUUGUGUCACCCUAAUUAUCGAAAAACCACCAAUCAAAAGCAGAACACCACACACUAGAGAUAGACUUUUAGACAUACCUUCCCCUCGUCAGAAUCUGAAUGACGCUGAGGGAACACCACCCUCAAAUCAUUAUACAGAUAGAAGCGCCUCUCACCUUCAAUGUCCAUUCUGUUUCUCACAGGCAGAGCAGCAGUAUCAGACUUGCACCUCUGAAAUGUUCUGGAAUAUUUCUUUGGGUGUGGACACAGAAAUCUGACAUGUAGAGCAUAACGGAGAACACCAGGACAUGCAGUACUGUCAUUGACCUUUGAAGUGCCAUUUGCGUAUUUGCUUUCAGUAACACUAGAUGGUACAGUAGGUACAUUCUCCAACUCUAUACUGCCCCUAUGUUCUUUAAUAUCUGAUCUUUCUACAGAUGAACUCCAUCUGAACCAGAAAGCACUGUUUCAUGCUGUAAAGAAUCACCACUUUUUGCAGUGACUUGCCCUCUUUUUUCAAGUCAGAUCUCCUUCUGUCUAAAGCUAAAGUAGCCUUUUGGCGUAGAAAUGUCUGCAAAGGUUUAUUGAUGAAAUAGAUAAACUUGGUAAUCUAUGUUCUUUACUCAUGACAACCACCUCCAAAUAUGCAUGAUAAAGAAUCUGCUACUCAAAAUACAGCAAUUAACAAAAACCAUGGAGGUAAGAUCAAUUCAAGAUAUAACUAGUCAAGAAACCUUGUCUUUUUGUUCUUUCCUUUUUCUGACAAUAAAUCAUGUACAUGUACUAAUCAAGGAUAAUAGAAACUGUCAAAAUGCUCAGUCAGCUAAUUCACAAUUAACAGCAGCAUGGAAGAUAAUCAGAAGAGCUAUCUGCCAGUCUGUUCUUGACUGGAAGCAACCUACUUUCUAUUAAGAAAUACAGCUUCAUCAACUGAGCAUUUCGAGAACCAGUAAGUGAAUUAUGAUGUCUACACUUCUCAAUGACUAAAAGUGAUAUGCUCAUCAGCAAUAAAAGCUUCGUUUCAGAGGAGGGGAAAAAGGUAAACAAGCAGAUUGAUCUCAACUUAGUUUAUUAAGCAAAACCUGAGUAGAAGACCAAGUAAAUGACUAAACACAAAUCCAUCUCAACAACAAAAGCAAACAAGAACAAAGGUACUGAUGUAAAAAACAGAGAAGAGCAUGCUAAUGUUAAGUUUCGAUUAGCUUAUGAAAGCCACAAGUACCUUGGUGCCAGCAGGCAUGUCACUUAAAUCGUAAUUACAAACAAAUGUGUGAAUGGGUGUUCUCUCUGGAUUGCUCAAAACCUGCAAAUGGAAAUUCAAUUAUCAACUUAAAUAAAGAAACAGCCAAGAGCAUCUACGCAAGAAGAAAACAACUAAAUGUUUAGCAGCUAGCACAGUCCACAAGAAACCUUUUAAGUUCCAAAGACAAUUCAAAAUUGUGUUUUCUUAUACUCAAGGAUUUCAUCUGAACAGAGUUCAUUUCAACUCACAUGGUAAGAUAUCAAUACCUUGAAGCACGAAAUUAGAUCUAGAUCUUAAUCAUGGAAUGAGAAGUAACAGUAAAUAGAAAUGAGUGCUAAAAACUUUCUACAAUGGUGAAUAAUGAUAAUCUUCAUGUAUUUGUAUUGCUAAACCAAUCAGGAAUCACAACAGUAGCUAGAUGACGAAACAGAUGCAAAGUUAAAAAGGAAAAAAACAGAAAAAGUUAAGAAAUGGUUCUAUGCAACAAUAUAUGGAGGAAGUUGAGAGACUUUUACAUUGCAACCUUCACAGCACAUAUGCAAGGUUUUUACUAUUGUUCAAGUUCUUCCUUCUAUUCACUUAUAUCCAGGUACAAAUAGGUCUGAACUGAGUGAGACCACAGAGCACAAGAAAACUCCAGUUUGAUUUCCUAGGAGAGUGGAUUUUUUUAAGCAGAUUGACUUAUCAACUUGGAGAAAUUCGCAUAAGUUUAUUCAAUUAUGUUUAUGGUCAACUUCAGAAUAAUGUGCUAAUGAAUUUUUGCAAAGAAUAAGGAACUAGGAAAUGCUCUCAUGAAGUCCAUCUUCCUUAUUUAGGGUAACAUGUUAAUAAACGAGUACAUCUAUUUGAAAAAAAAAUGACAUUGAAUACUUGGUCUCCACUUUCUCGUUUCUAGAAUAAUUUCACAUUGCUCAGAAUCCAAGUUGAUUGCUAAUUAACUAAUAGAUGUAAACAGAUAGCCAGUACGAACAUAAGUCAUAAUCAAUUUAACUAGUUUAUUCACUCCUGUUGAAUAAUCUAUAAAACUAAACCAGCAGUUGCAAAUUCAAUUACAAGCAAUAAGUAUUGCAGUUAUUCAUUGAAAUUAGGCUUUAAAGAACUAUCGGACAAAUCAUGUUAAGACUUUAAGGUCAGAAGUCCUAACUUCACAGCUAGGAAACAAUAACCACAAACUCAAAAUCAUGAUAGACAUGAGUGGUCAAACAACCUUCCAAUUUUAUCUGUAACUUGAUCUUCAUAAUUUAUCACUUGAACUUACUGUAGGAGCAUAUUUGCAUGUUUUAACAGUAUAUAAUUGCUUUGCCAUUGGGACGUCACCUGGUGCAGACGUACAACAUAUUCAUCCACAAGAUACAAAAACAUUAAGACAAGAAUCACCAGUUGUAUACGCCCUUUCAUAGGAACACGCAAGCGACUUCUUUCUGUUGGGGAGCCAUUGCUGCUAAAGCUCCUCUUCAUUGUUGGGGCUUUGUACUUAUUAGGAGACGACUGCCCUCCUAAAUCUAUUGAUGAAUAAUAAAGUAAGUAGUUAUCACCAUCCACACUUGUCGCAGAAAAUGGAAGUUUCUGUGGGUGGGGUGAGAAGCUUCCUCCAGUAAUAUUAAGAACCGCAAGGAAACCAUCAAAUUUCUGCAUAAAAAGUUCAGAGUGGGUAUAAUGAGGUAGAGCAUAAAAGCCUAAUUGAACAAAGAACUUGCCAACUGACAUCGGGAGUAUAUGGAAAAGUACAUGAGACACAACUGAUGUAUGAGUUUUAACAUGAAAACUUACCUGGGACGGAAUCCCAGAUGCUAAACGACCAGAUAACAGUGAUUCCUCAAAUGAACCAACCAAGGAUCUUUUAACAGACAAUCCACUGAGAUUCCUACCUAAUUUGGCACAUUGGUUUGUAAAUGCUGAGUCACAUCCCAAGUUACCUCUAGUAGCAGUUAUACUUUCAGGAGUGAAUUGCUCUAAGUUCAUUUGAAAAACAUCAAUAUCUUCAAAUGUUUCACAUGCCAUUUUAGAAUCCUUUUCUGUUUGAGAAGAUGGUAUGGCACAGAUAGUUCCUUCAAGUGACUGUCGUAUAUCCUUCAAGGUUAAACAAUUUUCAUCAAGUUCCAACAUUUCCUCAUACUCUUCCAAAGUUCUCAUUCUUCUAGAAGACUUGGGUCCAAGAGGUGACAGAGACAAUGAUGGUGACACAACUUUUUCCUGCACUAUGUCUAUCGCCCCAUUUUGAGACUUUAAUUUAGGCAAUUUUCCAUAAGAACUUACUCCAGGGAAGAUGAAUAAAAUAUUUCAGGAUGACCUUUCGCAUCUUCAAACAGAGGGCCAUCUGUAAUGAUGCUAGAGUUUGUCCCACUAUGUUGAUUGUGAGUAUGAAUGAAUUCAAGAAACUUAGAUUUGGAUGAAAACAAGGUAUGGCCAUGAUUGGAGUUGCUUACAUUACUUAUUUUAUGUUCUUGCAAGUUGAUCCCAUAAUUUUCACCAUACAACAGAGAAUCCAUCCUGUUAAUGUCCCUUCCAGGGUCUAUGCACCUAUCAUUAAAUUCAUCUGGUAAAAGCAAGCCAUUCAAAGGAGAAAACAACUGUUUCCGAACCAGAGAACCAGUUGCCUCAGUGGUACCAAUGACACUGGUUGAAAAAGGAACAGCAGAUUUAUGUCCUUCAAAAACACCAACAUUAGGAUGAGUAGUAUUUGGUCCAGUUGAAUCGAAUCCCACAAUCCUUGAAGCAGGAGUCUGAGCAAUCCUUCCACCAUUAAAUGGCAAAAAUCUAGUUUCUACUGUACCAACUCUUAAUCUAUGCGUGUUGGCCAUGCCAUCUUUAUGUGCACUGCCGACAUCAGCAUUGUUUGAAACCUCCCUUGACAAAGUGCAAGAGAGAUCCCCGAGCAUAUGAUUGCUUGGACGACCAAUGUGCAAUUCAUUCGUAUCAUAGCUCGCACCCGUUAAUCGAGGUGGAGUUUGUGCCAAUGUGCGUAAUGAUACAGUCACCUCCUCAGCAAUUUUGCUGGAAGACACUUGAGGCAAUCCCAUUCCUGAAACAAGAAACCCUUUUCACCACGUUCCCUAAGGUCUUUUCCUGUUCACUCAACCUACCCAAUUGAACCUAAUCUAUCCCCAACAAAUUACUAUCUUAUUCACGAUAGACACAAGUAAUUCCAACUUCACAAUGCCAGCAACAACACACUUAAAAGAAUCACCUCAGAAUUCAUAGAACACAAACCAGAGUUCAUUUACAUUUCAGCAAAUAACACUACUGCACCAGAAUACACAUUCCCAUUCUUACGGCAGCCCCCUCAAGCAAUUGCACGGCUAAAUUGAUCACAAAGGUGGAAAUAAAUUAGAGUAUGCAGCAGAAUUCAAACUGCCAGCGAACCCGCAUACCAAAAUUAAGGAGGCAUCCAUGAAUCCUUCCCCAAUAUCAAAGCCAAGCUCUGCAAUGUUUCAGAAGAAGGGAAAAAAAAACAAGUUUAGCUCAUUAGGCAAAAUUUUACACUCGGAAAUAGAUUGCAACAGACAGCAUAAAGAAACAGUUUUUCUCCAAAUUAGACAUCGACAUCCAAAUAAUUCUCGUCAUAAGGGAAGUCAACCCCUUUUCCCUCCUCUCCACACUAACAUAGUAUCCAAAAAAGAAAGAUUGGAUAUCUUUUAGAUUAGAUGAGCUAAAACUGAGCUGGUUGGUUCACUUAAUCUUGGCACAAUGCUAAAAGGCAAAGCAAUCUUUAGAUGACCAAAUGCAAAGUUUCCAAGCAAGAUGCUAAUCAGCUUAUUUCUUUCUUAACUAUUUAUUUUAUCAAGCGUAAGUAAUAUCAUCUCAUCUUAUUCAAACAAUACUAAGAAAGUAGUAAAAACCAACAAAAGAACUUCACUUAAAUUACAAUACUGAUGAUCAAAGCAAGCAUUGCCAUGGAUUCACCAUCUCAACCCACCCACAAAAAAUUCUAAAAAGAAAAAUGAUUCUCUAGUACAGCAAUAAAUGAAAUUAUGCAUACCUAUCAAAAAAAAAAAAAAGCAGGUAAAAAAAUACGAUGAUGAAAUCUGAGCUGAAAACCAAAGCAUAAUAACAAAAAAAAAAGGCAAAAGGCAUAAACUUUCUAUGUAUCUGUACAAAGAGCAAUAAAGGGACGCACCAAUGAAGCUUCUGAACUUGUAUAGAUUUUCUCUAAUUCAGUCAGAUAAAGCUCAAGAAUCAUACAAAUAAUCUGGGCUAAAAAUAAAAAUUAAUAAUCAAGUUGGAUUAAUAUAUUUUUUCUAAUUUUAUUCUGAGGUUUCACGCAUUUCUAUCUGUUUCUCUCCUCUCAUCUCUCUCUAUCUCCCUCUUUUCUGCCUGCAGUUAAAAGAAAGAAGAAUAGUUGUUGAAAAAUGGAGGCUUGUUAAGUUGUAGCCUGUUGGCCUCUCAAGUCUCAACCCAUCUUGCACGCAUAUUUUUGUGUUAAGCUAUAUAUAUUACAAUAAUCGACUCUCAGCGCAAUGUUUUUGUUUUUUCCCGUUCAUAUAAAAGAUUAUGGAUGGUU
rnacentral:lncRNA from 1 species